rnacentral:rRNA from 1 species
AUUGCCUUAGUACGGCGAGUGAGCGGCAAAAGCUCAAAUUUGAAAUCUGGCACCUUCGGUGUCGAGUGAGAUUAGGAAGAAGGUAACUUUGGAGUUGGCUCUUGUUUAUGUAUCCUGGGAACAGGACGUCACAGAGGGUGAGAAUCCCGUGCGAUGAGAUGCCCAAUUCUAUGUAAAGUGCUUUCGAAGAGUCGAGUUGUUUGGGAAUGCAGCUCUAAGUGGGUGGUAAAUUCCAUCUAAAGCUAAAUAUUGGCGAGAGACCGAUAGCGAACAAGUACAGUGAUGGAAAGAUGAAAAGAACUUUGAAAAGAGAGUGAAAAAGUACGUGAAAUUGUUGAAAGGGAAGGGCUUGAGAUCAGACUUGGUAUUUUGCGAUCCUUUCCUUCUUGGUUGGGUUCCUCGCAGCUUACUGGGCCAGCAUCGGUUUGGAUGGUAGGAUAAUGACUAAGGAAUGUGGCUCUACUUCGGUGGAGUGUUAUAGCCUUGGUUGAUACUGCCUGUCUAGACCGAGGACUGCGUCUUUUGACUAGGAUGUUGGCAUAAUGAUCUUAAGCCACCCGUCUUGAAACCACGGACC